rnacentral:rRNA from 1 species
GAUGAACGCUGGCGGCAUGCCUAAUACAUGCAAGUCGAACGAGAGGAAGGAAAGCUUGCUUUUCUGAAUCUAGUGGCGAACGGGUGAGUAACACGUAGGUAACCUGCCCAUGUGCCCGGGAUAACUUCUGGAAACGGAUGCUAAAACCGGAUAGGUAGCAGACAAGCAUUUGACUGCUAUUAAAGUGGCUAAGGCCAUGAACAUGGAUGGACCUGCGGUGCAUUAGCUAGUUGGUGAGGUAACGGCUCACCAAGGCGACGAUGCAUAGCCGGCCUGAGAGGGCGGACGGCCACAUUGGGACUGAGACACGGCCCAAACUCCUACGGGAGGCAGCAGUAGGGAAUUUUCGUCAAUGGGGGGAACCCUGAACGAGCAAUGCCGCGUGAGUGAGGAAGGUCUUCGGAUCGUAAAGCUCUGUUGUAAGAGAAAAACGACAUUCAUAGGGAAUGAUGAGUGAGUGAUGGUAUCUUACCAGAAAGUCACGGCUAAAUACGUGCCAGCCGCCGCGGUAA